rnacentral:rRNA from 1 species
UACGUAGGGUGCAAGCGUUGUCCGGAAUUAUUGGGCGUAAAGAGCUCGUAGGCGGUUCGUCGCGUCGGCUGUGAAAUCCCGGAGCUCAACUCCGGGUCUGCAGUCGAUACGGGCGGACUUGAGUUCGGCAGGGGAGACUGGAAUUCCUGGUGUAGCGGUGAAAUGCGCAGAUAUCAGGAGGAACACCGGUGGCGAAGGCGGGUCUCUGGGCCGAUACUGACGCUGAGGAGCGAAAGCAUGGGUAGCGAACAGG